rnacentral:lncRNA from 1 species
AUGGUGUUGUUCUGGUUCUAUGGAGGAAGAUUCUUUUUCAGUGUUUUCAGACCUUUGACUGAAUUUACCUCCUCUAGUUUUGUGUGUUUGAUGACUGUUCUUCCUUUUCACAGGCAGGUGACUUUGUUGUUGUUGUUGUUUAAAAAAAAAAAAAAAUGCAGCUCACAGUGUCAGUGCUGGGACCCUGGGCGUAGAGAAGCAGCCCCCUGCUACCUGAUACUCCAGACGGCCCAGCCACUCCGACACUUUCUUUCCUUGUUCUCAAAGGUGAAACUGGCUUAUGGGAAAAUGGGAUCUGGCCUCUUGGCUCAGAGGGUACAUCCCUCCCAAAAGGAAAAAAUGAAGAUCGAUGAUUGCCUUACAGAAGUUCAGACAGUUUGGGGCACUUGUGGAGCCAGAAAGCCGGUCUUCCUGUUCCUGGCUAGAACCCUCUUCUGCUAUAGUGAUGGAACAGUGGUCUUCAGAAACAAUGCCCGUCAUCUCCACUUCUGUGAACAUGUCCUGUACGGACAUCCCCCAAGAGGGUCCUGUGGAUUCGAUGCCACUCUGUUGAGGACACCACUGGCUCUAGUCCUGAUCCAGAGGUAUGCUUCCAUAUUUGUGUGCCUGUUUCUUUUCUUGCACAAUGAAGUCUAG